AUGAGGGAGGAUCGAGACAUGAAAGUAUGCGUCCUUCAGGUCGAUCGCUGCAAACCAAUCCUGGGCUUGGACGCAUUUGAUAAUACGUUUCUGCAUCAACAUCUUGAAUGGGAGCUUGUGCAGGGCCCGAUUCAAGACUCGCAGAUCCAGGAUAGGUCGAAGGCCACCGCUUUUCUUGGGUACGAUGAAGUAGGGGCUGUAAAACCCGCUCCUCAUCUCGGCUGGAGGGACCGGCUCGACUGCAUCCUUCGCCAGCAGGACAGCAAUCUCCUCGCGCAAGACAGAGGCGUCCUGGGCUGCCACCGAAGUCUUGAGAACGCCAUAGAACUUGGGAGGUCGCCGGGUGAACUGAAUCGCGUAACCGAGUCGCGCAAGCCACGCCCCCAAACUCCGUACAAGUGGCACCAAAGGGACAGUCGACAUACCCGCAGUGGUGCAGCGAUGGGGAGUUGUGUUGGAUGGCCCAGAAAGCAUCGCGUUCUGAGUCAUCACAGCAAAACUCCCCCUGUUCCCGGAGGAACUGGCCAGAGACACGUGGAGAGGCGUUGCGUCUCCGACCCGCGACCUCUUGGCCACUGGCGAAAGGGUGCGUCGUGGGUGAGAAUGAGGAGGCAGUGCGUCGCUCAUUGUCAACCCACGAGCCUUGCAACUCGGAGGAAAGGGAAAUUGCUCUUUUAUUGAAAAUGUGGGUGCCGCCGGCCGUCGGACCAGCGGCGGAACAGAAAGAAAAGAAAACUGAGGAUUCUCCACCCGGCCGUCCUCCUGAAGAGCAGUCUCCCACAUCUCUGAGUUGCCCAUGUCAGGGCCACUUCGUCGUCUUAGAGGAUUUAGCAGCCGGCUGUGACAUGGGGGGCGCCGCUCUCCUGCGCGGGGCUCGACGCGCCGGCCUCGAAGAACUCUCAGCACGGGGCGGAGCUGGUGUGGAGGACGCAGGGGGGCGCCCAUGGCGACGAGCAGACUGAGGCACUGCCCGCGACGGAAUGGUGGCAACCGGAGGAUCACGUCGGGGCAAGAUGUGUUGAAUGGCCUCAGUCUGCUUUUGCACUGCCGAGAACUGCUGGGCAAAGUCCUCGACAGUGUCGCCGAACAGGCCCGCCUGGGAGAUGGGAGCAUCGAGAAAGCGAGCUUUGUCGACGUCUCUGAUCUCGGCCAGGUUUAGCCAGAGAUGGCGCUCCUGGACCACUAAUGUGGACAUCGCCUUCCCGAGGGACCGCGCCGUGACUUUCGUCGCCCGUGCGCAGCUCCUGCAUCAACCUCGGGUCGGUACCACCCUCGUGCAUUGCUUUUAGCGCCUUGGCUUGAUGUACCUGCAGGAUAGCCAUGGCAUGCAGGGCAGAGGCUGCCUGGCCCGCAGCACUGUAAGCCUUGGCAGCCAGAGCCGCCGACAGCUUACAGGCCUUGGACGGGAGACGUGGACGAUUCCUCCAAGUGGCGGCGUUUUGUGGGCACAGGUGCACCGCAACCGCUCUCUCCACCUGGGGAAUGUCCACGUACCCCCUGGCUGCCCCGCCAUCGAGGGUGGUGAGGAUGGAAGAGGGAGACGAGCGGCUUCUGGCCGUAAAAGGGGCCGUCCACGACUUCGUCACCUCUUCAUGCACCUCCGGGAAGAAAGGAACCGGAGCAGAACGCGGUUGUGAGCCGCGCUCCGCGCCGAGAAACCAAUCAUCCAGCCGCGAGCGCUCAGGGCUGGGCGGUGUAGUCACCUCCAGCCCGAUGCUCACGGCUGCCCGGGCAAGCAUGGCCGACAACUCUAAGUCAGAUUCGGCAGCAGCGGCAACACCCGAGGGGGGCAGCCCCGCCUCAUCCUCAUCCUCAGAGGCCGAUAGCCCAUCCCCCGAUGCAGCAAUCGACAUCUGAUCCUCAGGCGGCCCACCGAAAGACACGCUGGGGCCGCCAUGAGACGGCCCAGCAGAAUCAAACGGCAGCCGCACGGGACAUGCGCUGCGGGAGGAGUGAAAGGUCCGUGGGGCGUGGCCCGGCGGGGAAGCUCUCACUGUCACCCACAGAUCUCCCAGAGCGCCAGCCGGCGGUCCCCUGCUCGAGCCAGAGAAACCGGGACGGGUGGCGGCAGAGGGGUUGAGGAGUGAGAGACGCGAUCGCAGCGAUGCCAUGCUCAUACGCCCACAAUAGACGCAUGAGUCAUCCACGAGCGCUGCCUCAGCGUGUUGGACGCCCAGGCACUGCAGACAACGCUCGUGACCGUCAACCGAGGACAGGGAACGACCGCAUCCAGAAGGACACGGACGAAACGGCAUCUUGAAAAAGACGCGAAUCGUCCGUGAUUUGCUCUUUUAUAAACUGCUCUUUUAGCCGAAGCACCCAGGGGAAUCACUGCUGCAGGGACACCGCUGUAAUGCGCCGUCACACCGACCAGGAACAGACUUUCCAACACAAAGAUGAACUGGCUUUGUAGUGAUAGCUCAUCAACUACUCGGCUCCGAAGCAAAAAUCUGAAUGAGUGGAUGCACCUGUCGCCUAUUUAUACCCGUAGGCACGGGGAGUGGCUCAGGUAUGUAAAAUCCACUAGCCAAUUUUCAUUGGCGUUUUCUCUUAAACUCAGAGAUGAUUGGCCUCCCAAGUGAGACCCCAUAUGUCGUUCGACAUAACUCAUAGUGACCGACAGAUAGGGAACUCCUGUUACGAUGUAGAUUUUUCAGGUGCACUCUUGUCAUAAAUUAAUCUAUUACCUUUCCUACAUAUUUUUUUUACAAAAAGCAUUGGUAAAAUAUCUAUUUAGGAGUCUUAGACCUUUCCAACGAUAUAUAGUUUGUCAUGAUUAGAUUAGGAUUUAAUUGUAAUAUAGUGAAGUAAACUUCACAGAGGGGAAAACCACAUAAACCACAUAACCACAUAAACACAUUUCAUUACACCAAAUACACAAAAUAAUGUUCUUUUUAGCAGCACCAUAUGACCCCUUUAAUGUAAUAUUACAGCUUCUUUUUUCAGAGGAAUUUCUAGACAGUAGUCGAACUACGUGAAAUUAUGUGUAUCAUGUACUGUAGCUUGAUAAAACAUAGUCUCAAAGUAGCUUUGCCAAUAGUUUAGAUCACUAUCUUCAGCCUAUUAGUCCUGACUGUCACAUUAAAUAUUUGAGGUUGCUCAUUUUACUUAACCCUGUUUUAUUUUAAUGGUCCCAAAUCCAACAUUUUACAGUAUGAAUUAUUUUAGCUUUCAUUUAAUGUGUAAGCUGCUUGUUCUAACAAUAUCUGUGACCCUGAUGGUUCCCUGGUUCUGUAGCUACUGUUUGUUAUUUUUCUUGUUCAGCACUCUUCAGAAUUUCUGCACAUCUUCUCUCUCCCAUUUAUCUAUCUUUUUUUUUCU
ensembl:lncRNA